UGCAAGUAUGUCUGUAGGAUAAAUUCCCAGAAAUUGACUUAUUGGGUCAAAGGGAAUAUGCAUUUGUAAUUUUGAUAGAGAUUGCCAAAUUGUACUCCUCAGGAGCUGAACUAAUUUGUACUCUCACCAGCAAUGUUAGGGACAUGCUUGUUUUUCCACCGCAUCACCAACAGAGCAUGUUAUUAAACUUUUGGAUUUGGG
rnacentral:lncRNA from 1 species